rnacentral:lncRNA from 1 species
UCUUGUUUAGCAACAGUCAACGACACUAAAUGUCACUGAAAUAUUUUCUGGCUUGCUUUAAUUUCUGAUGGCGCUGCCGAAAAAGCUGCGUUAUUCUUUAGGUCUUGUAACUUUGGUAUUAACAACAAUAAAAACUUGAACAAAAAACAGAAGUGAUCAGAACAGACGAGACUACAAGCUCCUUAUGUUUAAAAUUAAUUUCUUUGUACACUCCACAGUAAGCUUCAAAGUGCAGGAAGAAAACACUGAAAUUGAAGAGCGCCAAAAUGGGGAAGACACCUACAAAAAUAUUGGCAAAGGGUAGUGUUCAAAAUUACUGAAGUUUGAAACUGGUCAUCAUUUUAGAGAUUUAGGAAUAGAAACAUAGACAUAGCAAUGCAGGUGUCUAUGACAUGUCAGCUUACACCUGAUUACCAUCAAUACCAGUGGCUAAAGACUUCUAAUCAUCGCGUGCGAGAUGGAUUGAGGAUUUAAGUCAAUGACUUUGGACAUACACUACUUGAUUAAAAGAGAUUUCGCCUGGGUUAGGCGGAGUUUCUCCAAUUUCAUGGAAAUCUGAUAAAUGAAACGAAAUUUUGAUGUUUUGCAUUCUUUAAUAUGCUUUGCUGGUGAAGUGCUUUGUGGUGGAGACACCAUUUUAGUUAAUCGUUAUUAAUUCUAAUCUGCUUUUAAAAUUUUCAACUCUAUUAGUUGAGUUAUAAGAAAAAUUGGAAGGAUGGAAAUUUUUAGAGCUUACUGAUUUCAACAAUAAAGCCAUCAUCAGAGACAAAAUGGGUUUCUCAAUCAUAAAUAGAAGACACUUACAAUUUGGAUAUCUGAGAUAACAAUUGCACGCGUCCCGGAUAAUAAUCGGGAGUGAGAAUCCCGGAAACGCCGCGACGUCACAUGGAACCGUCCCCAGGGAGCGUUGCGACGUCCACCAUUAUUCGAAAGCGUUCGACUGGAACCGCGUAAUCUCAUCAUAAUAAUAUUUUGCAUUGCGGUUUAUUGUGGCGAACUUCGCGGUUUUAAGAGAGAAGGACCGACAAACUGUCGUCGAUUCGAUAUGGUUAAGCUUUUGGGCGUCGCGAUGGUACUUUAACGCAUCCAAACGGAAAGUGUUAAAUUUUCCAAUUCAACAAAUUACACGUCAUUACCAAUUUAAAAAUAUCAACUGUUAUUAGAUUCGGUGAUAAUAACUAAUAACAAGGAUUUUUGUUGGUAAUUAGCAAUUAUUGAGGGGGUGCUUUUGGUACCAUAUGGUGAAGAACGAGGGCUUCCAUCCUCUCUCGUCUCUUCCGUCAAUCUCGGUGUUCUCAGGAAGCACCUUUCAUGGUUCACAUGGGGACCCCCGGUAAAAGGAUGAUGAACAUGCGGAACGAAUGAGGCAUAAUUCCGAAAAUAUUCGCAUCGUCUAAUAUUACUGUAAUCCGGGAUGAAAUCACGCGACGUUCUUUGUUAACA